GGGCGUAUAGCUCAGCGGAAGAGCACCUGCCUUACACGCAGGGGGUCACAGGUUCGAACCCUGUUUCGCCCACCA
rnacentral:tRNA from 1 species